UACAGAGGUCUCGAGCGUUGUUCGGAUUCAUUGGGCGUAAAGGGUGCGUAGGUGGCUAGGUAAGUCGGAUGUGAAAUCUCGGGGCUCAACCCCGAAACUGCAUUCGAUACUGCUUGGCUUGAGUACUGGAGAGGAGAUUGGAAUUUACGGUGUAGCAGUGAAAUGCGUAGAUAUCGUAAGGAAGACCAGUGGCGAAGGCGGAUCUCUGGACAGUUACUGACACUGAGGCACGAAGGCCAGGGGAGCAAACGGG
rnacentral:rRNA from 1 species